CGCCGAUCACCUUCCUGGCAGGUGGGGAAAAAGUGAAGAUAUGUAACAUAUAAAAUGGAGUCAGUCGUUUUCACUGAUCUGCUAAAAUAAUCCACAUAUUAAGUUUGAGGCAUUUGGAAAGACUUCAACCUUGUUUAACUAGCCUGGGAACUUCAGCUUUCUUGAACUUUCCAGUCCUGUGUCAAUGCCUGGAUUUACAUCUGGACCUAUAGGAGGUUAGGUCUGUACCAAGAUAUUAGUAUUUGGGGAUCAAGUCAAGAAAAAAUGGUUGGCAACCUCCUUUGGAGAAAUAUGAGGAACAAAUACACUUACAUGCUUUCAAAGAAGAUCACCGGGAAUAAGGUAGGAUCAGACUUCUUAGAUCUCAAAGAAGCUUCAGGACUGCCCUGUUUAAAUCUUUGGAACAAUGAAUUUUAAAAUUCAGAUACAACUCAAAUAGGUCUUAGCAGGCAUUAGACAAUCUAAUGGAUAGAGAGUGAUUUCAAGCAAAAUAAGUCUUUCUUAUUAUUGAGUUCUCACCAAUACCAAAAGAUAAAUUCAGAUUUCAUUUUGUCUUGUAAUUUUCUGGCUUAUAGUAUUCCUUAGGUUCAGAAGCAACUCAGAGUGCUUCACAGAGAUGAUAGGUAUUUGCUCAGCUUGUUUUGAUAUUAUGCACAAUAAUAAUUGAGGUCCACACAUUUAUCUUUUGGAAUGAUUUCCAUUAGUUUCUUUCUUGUUUAUGAGUCUUCCUUGUAACUGGGCUGAACUUACAUUUUGUAGUUUUCUGACUUAUUUUUGUCUUUUAGGUUUUUCCUAAAAGACCAAACAAGAAGACAAAAAUCUUGGCACAUUAUUUAACUGUCAAAUUAGCCUCAGAUUAAUCUCUCUCUCUCUCUCUCUCUCUCUCUCUCUCUCUCUCUCUCUCUCUCUCUUUCUCUGUCCACUCCCUUGUUAUUCUUAAAUAAUCUAACUCUAUUAACUUCUCUUUAUGUAGAUCUAGAACAGUUUGGAUCAGGACUAACAUCACAGCUUACAAUAGAAUUGCCUUUAAUUCGAAAAUCAGAAGUGACUGGAUGUUGUUUAAGAAGAAUGAAGGAUAAACAGUCUGACCUUUUCUUUCUAAGACAAUGGAGGCUGGCAUGUGCUGACUAUUCAGACACAGCUCUCAGGCCUGCCUCUAGCAGUGGCUGAGCCAUUUCCUCCUACUCUGGAGCUGUCACUGCCCUGAGUCACUGCCCUGCUGUUGCCAGGUGCUUGUUUGCUAAGUAGUAACACACUACACCCCCACAUCCCCACACAGAGUUCUGGGGAAUUGCCCCAAUUUUCAGCUCUGCUGAGGUGGUUUGUGACUCAUCCUCUUUUUUUCUUUAGUGACCUUUUAAAGAGACAGG